AAGGGUUGUUUCUCCAUCCCAACAUAAAAGAGAAGAGGUGAUUAGGUUUAUCUAUUAAAAAUUUUAAAAUAAGAUUCUGCAGAAAUUUUGCCAUUUAUUUACAAACAUGGCAACAAAGCAAUCCAUUAAAAGUUUAAAUUUUGAUGUGAACCUAGCAGUUAUAUGAGGAAUUUUCUUUUUUAAUAUCAAGUAGUUUCUUAUAAUUUUAUUACUAGUAACUGAGAAAGUUGCAGUUUUGAGAAUUUUCUAGUCACCUUAUUACGAUCCUUAUGAUCAGAAAUGAAUUUUUGAGAAAACUGAUAAUGGAAUUUUUCCAAUUUAAUUAUAUAUAUGCCAUGACUAUACAAAUAUUGGAAAAUGUAAUAUCAAUUUUAAAAUAAAAUUUGACAAAAGUAGAUAGUUAUAGCUAUAUUGAAUGAAUGGAGGUGCUAUAUUUUCCUGGUGAUUUUUUUUUGUGUGCAAAAGUAAAAAGUUACGUGCUUAAUAUCGGGUAUUGCUUUUGAUUUUAAAAAAUGAAUGGUGAAAGAUCAUAUUUCUUUGUAAAUAAAAUGAAGUUCUCAAAGAAAAUAAACUGUAUUAUGAUGCU
rnacentral:misc_RNA from 1 species